AGCUUCCUGCUAGCUGUAUGUGGCUGUAAUAAUGUAUAUAUUGGCUGUAAUUCAUCACUUGUAUUAUCUUAUAAUACACCCAUGGGCUGUAUGCUGUAAAGCUUGUACCAUGGUGGAUGUAUUGACGUCUCUGUUUCCAAACAACCGGCUAUCGGCCAGUAGCUAGUAGUGCUAGUAGCAUGACAAAAACUGAAUUUAAUUGAGUUGUAGGUUAUUUACUAACAUAUAGGGCACAACCUCUUAUACAUCCAUGGUCUGUGGUCUAUUGGACAUAGAUUUUGGAAGUCGUUGGCAUGAAAAUGUCUGAGAUUGCUCUCACAGUCUGUGUGCUGGAUUUUUCUAACUUCCAUUUAUGUCCAUCGCUCACUUUAUGCCCCUCAAAGUAAGUAAGUACUCGAAAUAAGUAAGUAAAUAGUUAUAAUAGUAUGCACAUUGAUAAUAUUUUUUAUUGUUCAACACAGGCCAUUUCAGUAGAGCCAUUCAAAUUCUGACAAUAGAAUAAAAAUAAUUUAGUUUUACUUUUGUACGGCACUUUGUAGGCGGGUGUUUUACUGCCAUCCGGUUGUUGCUUUCAGUCCAAAAUGGCGGAGACGUAGCUCUGCUGCUGGGCGCUGAUGUUGCAAUGGAACGAACAUUGACUUUCACUUCUUAUCAGUAUACGUUCUUUGGUUCAGGUUAGAAUUAGGUUCAGGUAAGGGUAAGGGUCGGGGUCGGGGACAGGCAUUUAGUUGUGAUGGUUGAGGUUAGGGUAAGGGGCUAGGGAAUACAUUAUAUCAGUGAGUGUCCUCACAAAGAUAUAAGUACAAGAGUGUGUGUGUGUGUGUGUGUCUGUGUGUGUGUUUGUGUGUGUGUGUGUGUUUUGCAUUUUUUCAAAUGUGUGUGUGUUUUUACAGGUUUUUAAUGCUGGCUGUGUUGUAUCGGAGUUGCUUUUUGAAACCACGAGCAGACACAUCAGUGGAUCAAUAAAAACAGGUUUGAACUCUUGAAA